AACGAACGCUGGCGGCAGGCUUAACACAUGCAAGUCGAGCGCCCCGCAAGGGGAGCGGCAGACGGGUGAGUAACGCGUGGGAGUCUACCCAUCUCUACGGAAUAACGCAUGGAAACGUGUGCUAAUACCGUAUACGUCCUUCGGGAGAAAGAUUUAUCGGAGAUGGAUGAGCCCGCGUUGGAUUAGCUAGUUGGUGGGGUAAAGGCCUGCCAAGGCGACGAUCCAUAGCUGGUCUGAGAGGAUGAUCAGCCACACUGGGACUGAGACACGGCCCAGACUCCUACGGGAGGCAGCAGUGGGGAAUAUUGGACAAUGGGCGCAAGCCUGAUCCAGCCAUGCCGCGUGAGUGAUGAAGGCCCUAGGGUUGUAAAGCUCUUUCACCGGUGAAGAUAAUGACGGUAACCGGAGAAGAAGCCCCGGCUAACUUCGUGCCAGCCGCCGCAGUAACAC
rnacentral:rRNA from 1 species